CAGAUUCAGGGAAACCUGGGAAGAUUGAUAUGAACUACUACAAAGUGAAAUGAGUAGUCAGGAAAACAAGUUGCUCGAUCACCAUAAUAGCCAAAGGAAACCCAGAAGCAGAGACAAGGAACAGCUGUCCUUUGCAGAAAACUCUGAAACCGGAUUCUCCUCAAGCCUUUCCGUGAGAUACAGGAUGCUCUAACAGCAACAAUUGGAAUAAUUAAGAACCGAAAUGAAAGUAAAAUUAUAUGGCUUCUGA